rnacentral:rRNA from 1 species
CUCCUACGGGGCGCAGCAGUGGGGAAUAUUGCACAAUGGGCGCAAGCCUGAUGCAGCGACGCCGCGUGUGGGAUGAAGGCCCUCGGGUUGUAAACCACUUUUGUAGAGAACGAAAAGACACCUUCGAAUAAAGGGUGUUGCUGACGGUACUCUAAGAAUAAGCACCGGCUAACUACGUGCCAGCAGCCGCGGUAAUACGUAGGGUGCGAGCGUUAAUCGGAAUUACUGGGCGUAAAGGGUGCGCAGGCGGUUGAGUAAGACAGAUGUGAAAUCCCCGAGCUUAACUCGGGAAUGGCAUAUGAUAC